rnacentral:lncRNA from 1 species
AAUUUUUCUAAAAAAUAAAAUAAAAUUUCAAACAUCACAAAAGCAGAAAGAUUGGUGCAGUGAGGCCCCUUCUACUCAGCACCCAGUGCUGUGAUGAUCAUCCACCUGCAACCACUCUGGGCUCCAUCCACACUCAGCCCCACUUAUUUGAGCUCCAACUGGAUUAUUUGAAGAAGACCUAGAAGCUGUAGCAUUUCGUCAGCUCCCCUCACCCGCCCCACCACGCGUGAUAUCGACCACCCAAGAUUCUACUCAGAACACAACACACCCCACCUCCUCUCCACCCCAAGCCACCUUGCUCCAAGUGCCCAGGAUUCCUCCCCCAUGACUCCGACAGGCCUCCCACGCCCACUUACUCCUGCGGCCUAUGCAGAGACCUCAUGUAAAUCAAAUCACGUCCCCAUU